rnacentral:rRNA from 1 species
AACGAACGCUGGCGGCAGGCUUAACACAUGCAAGUCGAACGGUUGUAGCAAUACAGCAGUGGCGCACGGGUGAGUAACGCGUGGAUAUCUGCCUUUUGGUUCGGAAUAACUCCGGGAAACUGGAGCUAAUACCGGAUGGUUCCUACGGGAUAAAGAUUUAUCGCCAAAAGAUGAGUCCGCGUACGAUUAGCUAGUUGGUGAGGUAAUGGCUCACCAAGGCGACGAUCGUUAGCUGGUCUGAGAGGACGAUCAGCCACACUGGGACUGAGACACGGCCCAGACUCCUACGGGAGGCAGCAGUGGGGAAUAUUGGACAAUGGGGGCAGCCCUGAUCCAGCCAUGCCGCGUGAGUGAUGAAGGCCUCGGUUGGUUAAA